CAGAUUCUCGAAAAUCUGCGGGAUCUACUGAGAAGGAUGCUGCCUCUGAAGGUACAACAUCAGCACAAUCUCCUCCUCCUGCUGUUUCUCCGAAGAGCAAAAGGAAAAGGAGCAAUGGCGAAGAUUCCGGGACCUCGAAACCCGAAGAAACUGCUCCUUUACCUCGAAAAGCAGCUUAUGAUCCAUACGUCGAGAGUAUCAUCAGCUCGUAGGUUCCUUGCUCUUUUCCUUUUCUAUUUGAAGAAUUUUAUUUUGCCUUGCUUUUUAUGCUGCCACUAUUUUGUCACAGUGAUGAUGAAGAAACACCAACUUUAGAUGUGGCUGCUCGAACGAGCACGUCACAUACUUUAGUUAUUUCAGAAAAACCAGUUGAAGGGGAGGAAUCGUCGCCUCCUCAACAAAAUGUUGAUACAUCUACUCCUCCUUCGAGCCCCCGUGCCCCUUCACCAAAAAGGGCACGGGUUGAAAAGAUUGUUGAUCCUGCCCCUCAGUUGGGCAGUUCGUCGACUCUGCUCUUAGAUGAUCCAAUGAUCAAAGAGCUUCUUCGGAUCGGGUCCCAAUUUGUUGGGUACCGUGAAUAUGCCGCCAGAGCCGAAG